GGGCAGAAGCUCAGAACCAUGGUGACCAUGAGAACUCGGGCUCCUGGUCACUUACAGAAAUGUUGAAGAAAGCUGUGCACUUAACACAGGGCAUGGGAGAACGGAUUUGUGGCAAAUUUAGUUAAAUCUCAAAAGUACAAACAACCCGAGCUGAUAGUUUAGUGACAAGUAAGGUCUGUCUAGUCAAAGCUAUGGUUUUCCCAAUAGUCAUGUAUGGAUGUGAGAGUUGGACUAUAAAGAAAGCUGAGCGCUGAAGAUUGAUGCUUUUGAGCUUUGGUGUUGGAGAAGACUCUUGAGAGUCCCUUGGACUGCAAGGAGAUCCAACCAGUCAAACCUAAAGGAAAUCAGUCCUGAAUAUUCAUUGGAAGGACUGAUGAUGAAGCUGAAACCCCAAUACUUUGGCCACCUGAUGUGAAGAACUGACUAAUUGGAAAAGACCCUGAUGCUGGGAAAGACUGAAGGCGGGAGGAGAAGGGGACGACAGAGGAUGAGAUGAUUGCAUGGCAUCACCGACUCGAUGGACAUGAAUCUGAGUGAACUCUGGGAGUUGGUGAUGGACAGGGAGGCCUGGCGUGCUGCAGUCCGUGGGUCGCAGGAAGUUGGACAUGACUGACGUGAAUAAUUUUGACUGAACUGAAUAAUGUAAGAACUUCAGGAGACCCAGGACAGGGAGGCACUGUCUCUUUUGGAUGAUUUUGCUCAUUUCUACUUUAAUCUGUUAUAAUGAAAUUCUGUUUUAAUGCUCAGAUAGUGAUCUGAUUUCAGUCCUUGGGCUACACCUCUCAACUGUCUCCAUAUACCAGCCAUGAGCAGGCAGGGCAAAUGUUUGCCAUAAUCAGUGGUUUUUAUUCUAUGCUUCCUAUAAAACCACAGCGUUUGGUAAAUUAAUAUGGCUACUUAAGGCACAAAUCUCACUGGUACCGCCAGUUAUUAUUUGGAGCUUUAAACUUUGCAAAUGGAAACAAUACCUGGUAUCAGUACAGCACCUCAGAGAAGGGAGCUUGAACGUCAGCAGAGUAAUCGGGCAUAUUUCUUAGUUGAUACGUAACAGGAUCACAGUGCAGAUGCAGUGCAGACACUAGGGCUACGAGAAGGCAGCACUGUGCCUGCUUUCAAGCCUCUAAGUCCACAGUCAGGAGAUGUCCUGAACUCCAUCAGGACGACCCAGCACAGUGGAUGCUCCAACGGCCCAAGAUCACAGCCUGCAGAGGGACCAACCCCAGUCAGGCUGGACUGCCUGGUCUCUUUGUUGGAUGAUCUACACUGUUCCCCAUCCACCCUGUGUGUCCACCAUGGGUUAUUGGUGCUGUGUGUCCAUCGUGGGUCAGUGGUGCUGUGUGUCCAUCGUGGGUUAUUGGGCUGUGUGUCCAUCCUGGGUUAGUGCUGCUGUGUGUCCAUCCUGGAUCAGCAGUGCUGUGUGUCCAUCCUGGGUCAGCAGUGCUGUGUGUCCAUCGUGGGUCAGCGAUGCUGUGUGUCCAUCGUGGGUCAGAGGUGCUGUGUGUCCAUCCUGGGUCAGUGGUGCUGUGUGUCCAUCCUGGGUCAGAGGUGCUAUGUGUCCAUCCUGGGUCAGCGGUGCUGUGUGUCCAUCGUGGGUCAGCAGUGCUGUGUGUCCAUCUUGGGUCAGUGGUGCUGUGUGUCCAUCGUGGGUCAGUGGUGCUAUGUGUCCAUCAUGGGUCAGCAGUGCUGUGUGUCCAUCUUGGGUCAGCGGUGCUGUGUGUCCAGUGUGGGUCAGCAGUGCUGUGUGUCCAGUGUGGGUCAGAGGUGCUGUGUGUCCAUCGUGGGUCAGUGGUGCUGUGUGUCCAGUGUGGGUCAGCAGUGCUGUGUGUCCAGUGUGGGUCAGCAGUGGUGUGUGUCCACUGUGGGUCAGCGGUGCUGUGUGUCCACCAUGGGUCAGCAGGCAUCUCUGCUCAGGGCCUAAGGCUGAUUGACUGUCUGACACCUCAGCAUGAGGCUUCCACAUCUGAGAGAUAGAGCUGGAAGGUCUGAAGUUCUUUGCAUAUGAAGUGACAAAUAUCACUCCUUGCAGUCCAUUAUUGGCCACUAGAAGUCAAGUUUCUGGCCCCAGUUGAUGGCAGGAGGCUAGGAAACGAGGAGGAGCACAUGGGCAUUUUGGGAGCAAUAAAUGUUUCCCCAAAGCCCAGAUCUAAAGGAAGGUGUGGCAAGUCCCACUCUGGGGAGGGAGAAGUAGUAAUUUAGAGCAAAUCUUCAGGGAUUUGGAGAAACACAGUUCAGAAAACUACAAUUCGUGUAACCCUGUUCACAAGCAUGUGCUUCCGUGUGUUCAUUUGAGAUGUAGUGUUAGUCACUCAGUCGUGUCCCACUCUUUCCAACUCCAUGGACUGUAGCCCGCAGGCUCUUCUGUCCAUGGAAUUCUCCAGGCAGGCAUACUGGAGUGGGUAGCCAUUCCCUCCUCUAGGGGGUCUUCCUGACCCAAGGAUUGAAUCUGGGUCUCCCUCCAGGUGGAUUCUUUACUAUCUGAGCCACCAAGCAUGUAAGAUGUAAGAUAACUCCAGUUGUGAUGUGUCCGUAACUGAUAAAGAGAGUUUCUGCGAACCAUUUUCCAGAGCAGUGGGUUCUGUGGAUUUUAAAUUUUUGAAGAUGAUGCCAGGAUUUUGCAUAAUAUUGCUAGGAGGCUUUCCAUCAUGAAGAUAAACUUGCCCUAACUUCAUAAUUUUGCCUGGGAAGAGCCCUGCUUGUAUUCCUCCAGUCGGUCUCACCAAGCACUACAACUCUUUGCGGGGUGAUACUCCUGGAGAUAGACAGGUACACAGGUCUGAGAUAACAUCCUGUUGUGGAGAAACGAUCCCCAUGGAGUCAGAUCUUCUCUCUACUCACACCAGGGAACCAUC
ensembl:lncRNA